ACGACAUGCUCUGCAGAGUCUAUUUCUACUCGAACCUCAACGGGUGGUCGCAGUUCAGUUCAAACAUGUGCUUUCUGAAAUUCAUUUUGCUGCUGUUGAUUCCAUCAUAUAUAAGUGGUGGCUGUCAGUCCAACAUUAGUGUAAGUGGAGGGCAGAAUGUUUGCUACGGUCAAGACUUUAACCUCACAUGUCAGUUUGCUUGCCAUGGACUACAAAACCAUGUAAAAUUGGUGAAAGAGCAACAAAUUGAGUGCAGAAAAGUGUCUUCAGAUAAUAGUAUCACACUCUCUAUGCAAGUUCAUGGUGCAAAUAGGAAUCAUUCAGGAACAUAUAGCUGCCAAACAGAGCCAGAGGAUUCAAUAAGCAUGGCUUAUGUAAGAGUGGAAGACUGUGUUUUUCCUUCAAAAUCAACAUCAUCCCCUCUGGCUACCACAUACCAAAGCCCCACACCAUCAAGGAUCUUGGCUCCAGGGCUGAUAUGGUACAUACUGUUCAAGACAGGGGUUUUACUCAUCGGGUCAAUAACUGCAGCGCUGAAAGUCAGAAACACUGAAAAAUGACAAGAAUUUCUGUCAUUUAAAUUAAAAUAUGCUUCUAAUAAAUCAUGUACUCCAUGCAUCUUCACUUGCAUGCUGUUUUGCAAAAUUCAGUAUUCUUGUAAAUGUCAUGUAGUUGCUAUAGCUUCUCUGUGUUGUUCAUAAAUCUAAUGUCAGAUGUUCUCAUAGAUCUUGUCCUUCUUAAAAGAGAGAAUGCAAAUCAUGCCUUUUUGGACAUACAUGCCUAACUGGACCAGUUCUUGCUUUCUGUUAAAGAUGAUGAUGUUAAUAUACAAUAUAUUUUUCACAAGUACGGCUUUGUGAACUUGGCAGGUAUCUCUCAGAAUUUUUACAAAGUAAAUAAAUAAAUAUAUAUGAUGAAUAUAUAUAUGAAUUCUCACAAAUCUGCUUUCAAAGUGAUAUGGAUCCCAUCCUCUGAUUCUUUGUGAAAGACAAUUUUCUAUACCCUUCUAGGAUAGCUAAUUUGAAUUUUGAAUUGAAAUCAAUUAUUGCGUCUAACAGUUCAACAAAAAAGUUAAAUGAGUUACAUGUCCUUUGCCUUGCUAACUGUUUUUUUUUUUUUUUUUUUUUUUUUUACCAGUGAAAUGAAUGUUUAGACAAAAUAAUGACGGGAUUUCAACACUUGGGGGAGCUCGUGUCCGUAAACUCGGGAGGAGGCUUAUUUCAUGUAAACAGGAUUAGAUUGCAUCUUUUUAAACGGAGGUUAUACUUAAAGUCUGACACAGCCACUGCUACUUUCUUGCAAGAUUAGGCUACCUUAAACCAUUUUUAAAACCACCUUUAAAAACAUUUUUUCGUAAGGGAAUAAUUACCUAAUAAUUUUAUUGCAGUUUUACACACUUUCCCCCGGUUUCACAGACAAGGCUUAAGCUAGUCCCGGACUGAAAUGCAUGUUUGGGCUUUUUUAACUGAAAGCAACUUGCUCUGACAUAUCUUUAAAUAUGUCAGUGCCAUUGUUUUGUCUCAAGAUGCACUCCAGUAAUGUUUUUUUCUAGUCUACGUUCAUAAAAGAUACUCAAAUGCCCUAAUUGAACUAAGGUCUAA